rnacentral:rRNA from 1 species
AACGCUAGCUACAGGCUUAACACAUGCAAGUCGNGGGGCAGCAUAAAAGUAGCAAUACUUUGGUGACGACCGGCGCACGGGUGAGUAACGCGUAUCCAACCUGCCCAUUACCACGGGAUACCCCGUCGAAAGGCGGCCUAAUACCGUAUGCAGUCGUCAGAUGACAUCAGAGGACGACGAAAGGAUUGGCGGUAAUGGAUGGGGAUGCGUCUGAUUAGGUAGUUGGAGGGGUAACGGCCCACCAAGCCAUCGAUCAGUAGGGGUUCUGAGAGGAAGGUCCCCCACAUUGGAACUGAGACACGGUCCAAACUCCUACGGGAGGCAGCAGUGAGGAAUAUUGGUCAAUGGGCGCGAGCCUGAACCAGCCAAGUAGCGUGAGGGAUGACGGCCCUAUGGGUUGUAAACCUCUUUUAUGCGGGAAUAAAAUGUUUGACGUGUCAUACAUUGUAGGUACCGCAAGAAUAAGGACCGGCUAAUUCCGUGCCAGCAGCCGCGGUAAUACGGAAGGUCCAGGCGUUAUCCGGAUUUAUUGGGUUUAAAGGGAGCGUAGGCCGCAAGUCAAGCGUGUUGUGAAAUGCAGGGGCUCAACCUCUGGAUUGCAGCGCGAACUGGCAUGCUUGAGUACGCACGAGGUAGGCGGAAUUUGUGGUGUAGCGGUGAAACGCUUAGAUAUCACGAAGAACUCCGAUUG